rnacentral:rRNA from 1 species
CCUACGGGUGGCAGCAGUGGGGAAUUUUGCGCAAUGGGCGAAAGCCUGACGCAGCCAAGCCGCGUGAAGGAUUAAGUUCUUCGGCGUGUAAAGUUCUGUCAGUAGGGACGAAACUUGACGGUACCUACCGAGGAAGCACCGGCUAACUCCGAGACAGCAGCCGCGGUAAUACGGAGGGUGCAAGCGUUGUCCGGAAUCAUUGGGCGUAACGGGUUCGGUGGUGGGAUAGUAAGUCUGGUGGUAAAUGACGAAGCGCAACUUCUGUCCGGCAGUGGAUACUGGUUGGCUUGAGUGCGGUAGAGGUAAGCGGAAGGCCUGGUGUAGCGGUGAAAUGCUUAGAUAUCGGGAGGAACUUCGGUUGCGUAGGCGGUUUACUGGGCCGUAAUUGACGCUGAGGAACGAAAGCCUGGGUAUCGAAUGGGAUUAGAUACCCGAGUAGUC